GUCCUGGUUCAAGUUUCAGGCACUAUACAGUGAAACUGCGAAUGGCUCAUUAAAUCAGUUAUCGUUUAUUUGAUAGUACCUUACUACUUGGAUAACCGUGGUAAUUCUAGAGCUAAUACAUGCUAAAAAUCCCGACCUCCGGAAGGGAUGUAUUUAUUAGAUAAAAAACCAAUGCCCUCGGGCCCCUUGGUGAUUCAUGAUAACUUAACGAAUCGCAUGGCCUUGCGCCGGCGAUGGUUCAUUCAAAUUUCUGCCCUAUCAACUUUCGAUGGUAGGAUAGUGGCCUACCAUGGUUUCAACGGGUAACGGGGAAUUAGGGUUCGAUUCCGGAGAGGGAGCCUGAGAAACGGCUACCACAUCCAAGGAAGGCAGCAGGCGCGCAAAUUACCCAAUCCCGACACGGGGAGGUAGUGACAAUAAAUACUGAUACAGGGCUCUUUUGGGUCUUGUAAUUGGAAUGAGUACAAUUUAAAUCUCUUAACGAGGAACAAUUGGAGGGCAAGUCUGGUCCCCAGCAGCCCA
rnacentral:rRNA from 1 species